AAAACUUUGGUGCCCAGGACUGGUGAGGCCACUGCUCCCAUGGCAGCUGAUCAGCCCUUGCUUCAGCCUCCCUUAUCCUUUCAUCGUGCUCCUUGCGGCUCAGUAUGACCUCUACUAUGCGAUAGAAAGACUGUGAGCUGUGAAAUGAGGCCACCUUGAUCUGAUCGUGUAAAGCCCGAUUAGAAUCCAGGGAUGGGAUAUCUUUCGGGCCGCAGAACAAGUUUUGAACGUCACUGGGAGCUAUGUUUCUUCCGUUAACAUACGUCUAACAUACGCUCUGACAUCUUGCCUGUAGAGUUCCCAGUGAGGGCAUACGAAGUCGAUUAGUAAAACCCUUUCAAGGACGUCGAUCCCCAGGAAGUCAUCGCAGAAAACGUUUCAUAGGGUAGGGCCGAGAACGGAGCCGUCCGUCACCGACCUGACGGAGCUGGACCCGUUGGUGAGGCGAAUGAUGAGAGUGCAGUAAUACCGAUUUGUUCUACCCAAACCCUGGUACUAAUUUUUAAUGUCUAAUUCAUUAUUCAAUCGCAG